GGGCACUGUGAUCAGAUGGUGGCAUCUUGAGAGUUGGCUGGUCUCACUGACUGGACAGGUGCCCCCUUCCUCCCUCAUCACUCCAUGUGUGUCCCCCCAAUGCUACGUGCUAGAGUGAAGAGAAUGCAAGUAGAUGUGGUCCCCUACUGGAAGCUCCACACAAGCUCUCAAGAAAGGAGGGAGUGGUCCUUUAAGGCAAGUUAGCCAUUGUUUCUCUGUUGUUGUGGACACAUCUACACAUA
rnacentral:snRNA from 1 species